GCCUCCCACUUUCCCUUCAGGUUGUUUGUAUUAAUUCUACAUGGAAUGCUCUGUCACCAAAGCUGAGUUGUGAUACAAGACCCCUUAUUUUAAAAGCAUUGAAUGAACUGUUUGCUCUGGUUCCUUCAUUAACAGUGAAUACAAAUGAAUAUGAGAAAUUCAAAGCUCAAGUUCUCAGCUUCCUGUGGAAAAACACACAAAACAAGGAUGCUAUUGUAGCUGUUUCAGCCUACAAAUCGCUCUCAUCAUUUGGCUCUGACGAACAUACAAUUCUUCAUCUUCCUGAACAGGCACGAACAGAAAUUAACUCUUUGGAGGAUACAGAUGUGAAUGAAGAUGAGGAAGAGAGGGAGGUGGAUCUUUCUAUUCCAGGUUCUUCGUAUAUCAAGUUGUUGUCUCUAACACCGGAUUCUGUAUUAG